GGUCUUACCUACCCCACCCAUACCAACUAUGGGCACGAUGCUAAAGUUUUUAUCGCAAGGUUCAUCCUCCAAUAGCUUGUGGAGCAACGCAUCCUUUUCACCUUCACGUCCGACAAUACUAGAUGCAUCAACCAAAGAGUUCUUGUAACUUGGUGGUAAUAUCAUCCAACUUGCUAUGCAUACUUGUACUUACUGAGAAAUUUGUGCAACAACUCGGGAUGAGAUUUCUUACCACGUUUAUGGAGGCUCCACGUUCCUUGGUCAACUCACGAUGCAUAGCUUCGGUUUCCAAAUCGUCAAGUAGGUCGUCAAUGUCGUAAGCCAGAUGUUGGAGACCAUUAAGCCACUCUUUAACACUCUCAUCAGUUAUUUCCUUACGAGAAGCAUCAUGAAGCAGAAAUUUGAUCUGGUUUAAUGAUCUCUUCAGUUUCUUGAUCUCGGAAUCAAUUCCUUUAAGGCGAGUGAACUUCUUCAACGAAUCAGAGGCUAGCUUUUCAAAUAACACCGAGAAGAAGGCAGAAAGUACUAUUUCAGCCAUUGUUGAAGGGCGGAGAAUAUAGUAAAGGUCCGGUGGUGGAGUGGAUCUACAGAGCGAUAUCAAUAAUUGUUUUAUGUUGAUGAAAUGCACAGGUACUGGAGGAGAACGAUUUCAAUUAUUGUCAUAGUAAAGAUGUGGACAAACUUGAACCACGUUGCAAGUUGCAAUGGCAACUUUUUCAUAUAUGAUUCACAUGCAUUCUAAAGAAAACGUGUUUUUGAA